rnacentral:rRNA from 1 species
GAUGAACGCUGGCGGCGUGCCUAAUACAUGCAAGUCGAGCGAACAGACGAGGAGCUUGCUCCUCUGACGUUAGCGGCGGACGGGUGAGUAACACGUGGAUAACCUACCUAUAAGACUGGGAUAACUUCGGGAAACCGGAGCUAAUACCGGAUAAUAUAUUGAACCGCAUGGUUCAAUAGUGAAAGACGGUUUUGCUGUCACUUAUAGAUGGAUCCGCGCCGCAUUAGCUAGUUGGUAAGGUAACGGCUUACCAAGGCAACGAUGCGUAGCCGACCUGAGAGGGUGAUCGGCCACACUGGAACUGAGACACGGUCCAGACUCCUACGGGAGGCAGCAGUAGGGAAUCUUCCGCAAUGGGCGAAAGCCUGACGGAGCAACGCCGCGUGAGUGAUGAAGGUCUUCGGAUCGUAAAACUCUGUUAUUAGGGAAGAACAAAUGUGUAAGUAACUAUGCACGUCUUGACGGCACCUAAUCAGAAAGCCCCGGCUAACUACGUG